rnacentral:rRNA from 1 species
GAUGAACGCUGGCGGCGUGCCUAAUACAUGCAAGUCGAGCGAACGGACGAGAAGCUUGCUUUUCUGAUGUUAGCGGCGGACGGGUGAGUAACACGUGGAUAACCUACCUAUAAGACUGGGAUAACUUCGGGAAACCGGAGCUAAUACCGGAUAAUAUUUUGAACCGAAUGGUUCAAAAGUGAAAGACGGUCUUGCUGUCACUUAUAGAUGGAUCCGCGCUGCAUUAGCUAGUUGGUAAGGUAACGGCUUACCAAGGCAACGAUGCAUAGCCGACCUGAGAGGGUGAUCGGCCACACUGGGACUGAGACACGGUCCAGACUCCUACGGGAGGCAGCAGUAGGGAAUCUUCCGCAAUGGGCGAAAGCCUGACGGAGCAAAGCCGCGUGAGUGAUGAAGGUCUUCGGAUCGUAAAACUCUGUUAUUAGGGAAGAACAUAUGUGUAAGUAACUGUGCACAUCUUGACGGUACCUAAUCAGAAAGCCACGGCUAACUACGUG